GGGCCCGCACAAGCGGAGGAGCAUGUGGUUUAAUUCGAUGAUACGCGAGGAACCUUACCUGGGCUUGAAAGUUAGUGAAUGCCGUAGAAACAUGGCAGCAAGCAAUUGCACGAAACUAGGUGCUGCAUGGCUGUCGUCAGCUCGUGCCGUGAGGUGUUGGGUUAAGUCCCGUAACGAGCGCAACCCCUAUUAUUAGUUGCCAACAGGUCAUGCUGGGGACUCUAAUAAGACUGCCCGCGCAAGCGGUGAGGAAGGUGGGGAUGACGUCAAGUCAUCACGGCCCUUACGUCCAGGGCUACACACGUGCUACAAUGGUCGGUACAAUGGGCAGCCACAUGGCAACAUGGAGCUAAUCCUUAAAACCGAUCUCAGUUCGGAUUGAGGUCUGCAACUCGACCUCAUGAAGCUGGAUUCGCUAGUAAUCGUACAUCAGCAAUGGUACGGUGAAUACGUUCCCGGGCCUU
rnacentral:rRNA from 1 species